UACGUAGGGACCAAGCGUUGUUCGGAUUUACUGGGCGUAAAGGGCGCGUAGGCGGCGUGUUAAGUCAGCUGUGAAAUCUCCAAGCUUAACUUGGAACGGUCAGCUGAUACUGAUGUGCUAGAGUGCAGAAGGGGCAACUGGAAUUCUUGGUGUAGCGGUGAAAUGCGUAGAUAUCAAGAGGAACACCUGCGGCGAAGGCGGGUUGCUGGGCUGAUACUGACGCUGAGGCGCGAAAGCUAGGGGAGCGAACGGG
rnacentral:rRNA from 1 species